GAGGGUAUAGCUCAGUGGUAGAGUAUAUGUUUAGCAUGCAUUAAGGCCUGGGUUCAAUCCCCAGUAUCUCCA
rnacentral:tRNA from 1 species